AACGAACGCUGGCGGCGUGCCUAACACAUGCAAGUCGAGCGCGAAUAGAGCAAUCCUAGUAGAGCGGCGCACGGGUGCGUAACACGUGGGUAAUCUGCCUAGAAGCCCGGGAUAACCAUCCGAAAGGAUGGCUAAUACCGGAUAAGACCACGGCCCCUUCGGGGGCCGCGGGAAAAGGUGGCCUCUGUAUACAAGCUAUCACUUCUAGAUGAGCCCGCGGCCCAUCAGCUAGUUGGCGGGGUAAUGGCCCACCAAGGCGACGACGGGUAGCUGGUCUGAGAGGACGAUCAGCCACACUGGAACUGAGACACGGUCCAGACUCCUACGGGAGGCAGCAGUGGGGAAUUUUGCGCAAUGGGCGAAAGCCUGACGCAGCAACGCCGCGUGUGUGAUGAAGGUCUUCGGAUUGUAAAGCACUUUCGACCGGGACGAAAACCCGUUGGCUAACAUCCAACGGCUUGACGGUACCGGGAGAAGAAGCACCGGCUAACUCUGUGCCAGCCGCCGCUGUAACAC
rnacentral:rRNA from 1 species